rnacentral:rRNA from 1 species
UACGUAGGUGGCAAGCGUUGUCCGGAUUUACUGGGCGUAAAGAGCGCGCAGGCGGUCGUUUAAGUCGAAUGUGAAAGCCCCCGGCUCAACUGGGGAGGGUCAUUCGAUACUGAUCGACUUGAAGGCAGGAGAGGGAAGUGGAAUUCCGGGUGUAGUGGUGAAAUGCGUAGAUAUCCGGAGGAACACCUGAGGCGAAGGCGGGUUACUGGGCUGAUACUGACGCUGAUGCGCGAAAGCCAGGGGAGCAAACGGG